rnacentral:rRNA from 1 species
AACAGGAUUAGAUACCCUGGUAGUCCACGCUGUAAACGAUGUCGACUUGGAGGUUGUGCCCUUGAGGCGUGGCUUCCGGAGCUAACGCGUUAAGUCGACCGCCUGGGGAGUACGGCCGCAAGGUUAAAACUCAAAUGAAUUGACGGGGGCCCGCACAAGCGGUGGAGCAUGUGGUUUAAUUCGAUGCAACGCGAAGAACCUUACCUACUCUUGACAUCCAGAGAAUUUGCUAGAGAUAGCUUAGUGCCUUCGGGAACUCUGAGACAGGUGCUGCAUGGCUGUCGUCAGCUCGUGUUGUGAAAUGUUGGGUUAAGUCCCGCAACGAGCGCAACCCUUAUCCUUUGUUGCCAGCGAGUAAUGUCGGGAACUCAAAGGAGACUGCCGGUGAUAAACCGGAGGAAGGUGGGGAUGACGUCAAGUCAUCAUGGCCCUUACGAGUAGGGCUACACACGUGCUACAAUGGCAUAUACAAAGAGAAGCGAACUCGCGAGAGCAAGCGGACCUCAUAAAGUAUGUCGUAGUCCGGAUUGGAGUCUGCAACUCGACUCCAUGAAGUCGGAAUCGCUAGUAAUCGUAGAUCAGAAUGCUACGGUGAAUACGUUCCCGGGCCUUGUACACACCGCCCGUCACACCAUGGGAGUGGGUUGCAAAAGAAGUAGGUAGCUUAACCUUCGGGAGGGCGCUUACCACUUUGUGAUUCAUGACUGGGGUGAAGUCGUAACAAGGUAACC